rnacentral:rRNA from 1 species
AGCGAACGCUGGCGGCAGGCCUAACACAUGCAAGUCGAACGAAGUCUUCGGACUUAGUGGCGGACGGGUGAGUAACACGUGGGAACGUGCCCUUUGGUACGGAAUAACUCAGGGAAACUUGAGCUAAUACCGUAUGUGCCCUUCGGGGGAAAGAUUUAUCGCCAUUGGAGCGGCCCGCGUCUGAUUAGCUAGUUGGUGAGGUAAAGGCUCACCAAGGCGACGAUCAGUAGCUGGUCUGAGAGGAUGAUCAGCCACAUUGGGACUGAGACACGGCCCAAACUCCUACGGGAGGCAGCAGUGGGGAAUCUUGCGCAAUGGGCGAAAGCCUGACGCAGCCAUGCCGCGUGAAUGAUGAAGGUCUUAGGAUUGUAAAAUUCUUUCACCGGGGACGAUAAUGACGGUACCCGGAGAAGAAGCCCCGGCUAACUCCGUGCCAGCCGCCGCGGUAACAC